CUACUCUCUGUGCUGUUUUUGUGGUUUCCCGUCACGAGAAGCGCAGACUCCUCACACAGCGCUGGAACAGUUGCCCGUGUUUACCGUGAGCAGCUUGUCUUCUGCCAGCACCGUGGAAGCUCGGGAACUUUGAGAUCACAUUCAUCAACUCCUCUGUGAUGAAAUGACAGAAGAUUUCUGCAGAGACGGAAGAAAACAGCACAUUUGAAGGACUUAGUAUAACCCUGAAGCAUUUGUGUGACCAGCCAGCAGAAGGGCAAAGGGGAUCUCCACAUCUUCCAGCCCCAGCCUUCAUGAUAUAAUGGAUCCUCGCCUCUCCCAGAGGGUGAUGUGUAGCCAUCACACCUCUCCCGCAUGACUGAAAAGGAGGAAGGGUGUCUUUUCAGCAGGGCUGGGCCCUGCGUGGCUGGCUCUCUCUGCAGCAGGUGGUAAACCUGGCUUCUCUCUGAUAGACACUUGCUUCAUCAAGGAAGAAACCGACUUUUUAAAUUUUAUUGUAAGGUUUGCUCAACACCAGGCAGACAUCAGAAAGGACUUCCUGUCCAGAUCAGGAGGCUCACGACUCCAAUUCUCUGUGGACCUUCAGGGAGAGUUCAUAUCCGUCUGUGCUGGAUGACAGGUCGACCCUGGAAGAGUCAAGGGCAUAGCUGCAAUGACCCUUCCUAACCUUGUUAAAGGAUUCCCUACCGCCCAGGUUCCCCUGCUCCUCCGUUCCCGUAGACGGCUCAAGCACCAUUAAAUAUCUUGGAAUAAAAA